AGAGUUUGAUCCUGGCUCAGGAUGAAUGCUGGCGGUGUGCCUUAAGCAUGCAAGUCGAGCGGUUCUCGCAAGAGAGCAGCGGCAGACGGGUGCGUAAUACAUAGGAAUUUGCCUCUUUGUGGGGGAUAGCUCGCCGAAAGGCGGGGUAAUACCGCAUGUGAUCGCAAGAUCAAAGCCGCAAGGCGCAAAGAGAGAAGCCUGUGUCCCAUCAGGUAGUUGGUAGGGUAAUGGCCUACCAAGCCAAUGACGGGUAUCCGGUGUGAGAGCAUGACCGGACACAAGGUAACUGAGACACGGUGCCUACACCUACGAGUGGCAGCAACUGGGAAUCUUGCGCAAUGGGCGAAAGCCUGACGCAGCGACACCGCGUGUGGGAUGAAGGCCUUCGGGUUGUAAACCACUGUGGCAGGGGAAAAACACAAUGAUGGUACCCUGCUAGAAAGCAUCUGCUAACUACGUGCCAGAAGCCUCGGUAAUACGUAGGAUGCAAGCAUUAUCCGGAUUUAUUGGGCGUAAAGAGUAUCGUAGGCGGACGUAUGCGUGGCGGGUUUAAGACCGGGGCUCAACCCCGGAACAGCUCGUCAUACGGUAUGUCUAGAGUUUGCUAAAAGGAACUGGAAUUCUCGGUGGAGGGGUGAAAUCCGUAGAUAUCGAGAAGAACGCCAAUGGUGAAGACAGGUUCCUAGGGCAAUACUGACGCUGAUGAACGACAGCUAGGGGAGCGAAAGGGAUUAGAGACCCCUGUAGUCCUAGCCGUAAACUUUGCUUGCUAGUUGGUCGGAUUUAUUCGGCUGACGUAAGCUAACGCGUUAAGCAAGCCGCCUGGGGAGUACGGCCGCAAGGCUAAAACUCAAAGGAAUUGACGGGGGAGCGCACAACCAGUGGAGCAUGUGGUUUAAUCCGAGACGAAGCGAAGACCUUACCUAGAUUUGACAUGUACCUGCAAGCCUAUGGAAACAUAAGCCGCCUUCGAGGGUGGUACACAGGUGAUGCAUGGCUGUCGUCAGCUCGUGGCGUGAGUCGUCUGCUUAAGUGCAGGAACGAGCGCAACCCCUGCCGUGUGUUGUAUUUCACACGGGACUGCCCAUCUACAAGAUGGGAGGAAGGAGGGGAUGACGUCAAGUCAGCACGUCCCUUACAUCUAGGGCCACACACAUCCUACAAUGGCGUUGACAACGGGUCGCGACGGGGUAACCCUGAGCUAAUCCUUAUAAACAACGCCUCAGUUCAGAUUGAGGGCUGAAACUCGCCCUCAUGAAGUCGGAAUUGGUAGUAAUCGCGGAUCAGCUGGCCGCGGUGAAUACGUUCUCGCUCCUUGUACACACUGCCCGUCAAAUGAGUGAAGUUGGCAACGCCCGAAGUGGAUGACUCUAACUCGCAAGAGAGG
rnacentral:rRNA from 1 species